rnacentral:rRNA from 1 species
AGCGAACGCUGGCGGCAGGCUUAACACAUGCAAGUCGAGCGGGCGUAGCAAUACGUCAGCGGCAGACGGGUGAGUAACGCGUGGGAACGUACCUUUUGGUUCGGAACAACACAGGGAAACUUGUGCUAAUACCGGAUAAGCCCUUACGGGGAAAGAUUUAUCGCCGAAAGAUCGGCCCGCGUCUGAUUAGCUAGUUGGUGAGGUAACGGCUCACCAAGGCGACGAUCAGUAGCUGGUCUGAGAGGAUGAUCAGCCACAUUGGGACUGAGACACGGCCCAAACUCCUACGGGAGGCAGCAGUGGGGAAUAUUGGACAAUGGGCGCAAGCCUGAUCCAGCCAUGCCGCGUGAGUGAUGAAGGCCCUAGGGUUGUAAAGCUCUUUUGUGCGGGAAGAUAAUGACGGUACCGCAAGAAUAAGCCCCGGCUAACUUCGUGCCAGCAGUCGCGGUAAGGCACGACUGU